AACCCUUAUCCUUUGUUGCCAGCGGUUAGGCCGGGAACUCAAAGGAGACUGCCAGUGAUAAACUGGAGGAAGGUGGGGAUGACGUCAAGUCAUCAUGGCCCUUACGACCAGGGCUACACACGUGCUACAAUGGCGCAUACAAAGAGAAGCGACCUCGCGAGAGCAAGCGGACCUCAUAAAGUGCGUCGUAGUCCGGAUUGGAGUCUGCAACUCGACUCCAUGAAGUCGGAAUCGCUAGUAAUCGUGGAUCAGAAUGCCACGGUGAAUACGUUCCCGGGCCUUGUACACACCGCCCGUCACACCAUGGGAGUGGGUUGCAAAAGAAGUAGGUAGCUUAACCUUCGGGAGGGCGCUUACCACUUUGUGAUUCAUGACUGGGGUGAAGUCGUAACAAGGUAACCGUAGGGGAACCUGCGGUUGGA
rnacentral:rRNA from 1 species